ACUAGUUAGCUCACCUGUCCCAAAGGGACAAGUGAGCUUAUGCCAUCACUUGGCGUCCGUCGUCGUCCGUCGUCUGUCGUCGUCGUAAACUAUUUCAAGAAUCUUCUCCUCUGAAACUACUGGGCCAAAUACUUUCAAACUUUAACUGAAUGUUCCUUAGGGUAUCUAAUUUAUAAAUUGUAUCCGAAGUUUUGAUCUAUCAACAAACAUGGUCGCCAUUGCUAAAAAUAGAACAUCGGGGUCAAAUGCAGUUUUUGGCUUAUUACUCAAAAACCAAAGCAUUUAGAGCAAAUCUGACGGGGUAAUAUUGUUUAUCAGGUCAAGAUCUAUCUGCCCUGAAAUUUUCAGAUGAAUCAGACAACCUGUUGUUGGGUUGCUGCCCCUGAAUUGGUAAUUUUAAGGAAAUUUUGCUGUUUUUGGUUAUUAUCUUGAAUAUUAUUAUAGAUAGAGAUAAACUGUAAACAGGAAUAAUGUUCAGCAAAGUAAGAUUUACAAAUAAGUCAACAUGACGGAAAUGGUCAGUUGACCCCUUUAGGAGUUAUUGCCCUUUAUAGUCAAUUUUUAACCAUUUUUCGUAAAUCUUAGUAAUCUUUUACAAAAAUCUUCUCCUCUGAAACUACUGGGCCAAAUACUUCCAAACUUUAACUGAAUGUUCCUUAGGGUAUCUAGUUUGUAAAUUGUAUCCGAAGUUGUGAUCUAUCAACAAACAUGGUCGCCAUUGCUAAAAAUAGAACAUAGGGGUCAAAUGCAGUUUUUGGCUUAUAACUCAAAAACCAAAGCAUUUAGAGCAAAUCUGACAGGGAUAAUAUUGUUUAUCAGGUCAAGAUCUAUCUGCCCUGAAAUUUUCAGAUGAAUCAGACAACCUGUUGUUAGGUUACUGCCCCUGAAUUGGUAAUUUUAAAGAAAUUUUGCUGUUUUUGGUUAUUAUCUUGAAUAUUAUUAUAGAUAGAGAUAAACUGUAAACAGCAAUAAUGUUUAGCAAAGUAAGAUUUACAAAUAAGUCAACAUGACGGAAAUGGUCAGUUGACCCCUUUAGAAGUUAUUGCCCUUUAUAGUCAAUUUUUAACCAUUUUUCGUAAAUCUUAGUAAUCUUUUACAAAAAUCUUCUCCUCUGAAACUACUGGGCCAAAUACUUCCAAACUUUAACUGAAUGUUCCUUAGGGUAUCUAGUUUGUAAAUUUUAUCCAAAGUUAUGAUCUAUCAACAAACAUGGUCGCCAUUGCUAAAAAUAGAACAUAGGGGUCAAAUGCAGUUUUUGGCUUAUAACUCAAAAACCAAAGCAUUUAGAGCAAAUCUGACGUUGGGUAAUAUUGUUUAUCAGGUCAAGAUCUAUCUGCCCUGAAAUUUUCAGAUGAAUCAGACAACCUGUUGUUGGGUUGCUGCCCC
rnacentral:lncRNA from 1 species